UCUCCUCUAUUAUUAAAACAUGUUUUAUAACUCUCCCUUAUUACCUUUCUUAAAGCAUUGUUAUUUAUUAAAUUACCAUAUUUGAUGUCCUUGGAAGAUAGUAAAUCUUUAAGUGCUUUGAACAGAACAUGUAGGAACAACCAACUCCAAAGUUUGUAAUGCUUUCUUCUUUGUAACCAGAAAUGGACAGAGUUACAUGAGGCCUUGACCAUGAAAGAUGUAGAGGACACAAUACACAGUUUUCACCCCUCAUAACUUAGUCCUAAGAGUGCAAAAAAAAUCACUGAAAUAAAACAUAUGUCUUCAGAGUGGAUGUUUCAGAUUCUUCUUUGGCUUCACAAACCAUUGACUUAAUAGCCUCUGAAGGACCAUGGAGCCUGUUAGUAAUAAGUAUUUAAGAAAACUUACCUAUAGCAAGCACUGGGGCAGGCAUACUAUACUUUGCUGCUUAUUUCACCAGACUGAAGAUGGCUAAAUGUAAUCUUACAUUCAGGAGAGCUACCUAAAACAAGGGUCUUUUGUUUGGUUGCUUUUGGUUUUGUUUUCAUUCUCAGUAUGAUUAAAACUGCCAGAUAAGAUGAACUGGCAUUGAACUAGGUACAGAAGUUCACAGAUUUAGUCUUCUCCUACCUAAAGAUGUUCUUUAGCAUGUUUUUAAUGUGGGAGGGGAAAAAAAAGUGAUAAAAACACCAGGCUACAUUUAUGCCUUUGGUCAGUAGAGAUGAAUUGCUGUUGCUGCAGCUGUCAGGAAAGGAUAGAAGCAGUAAUGGUUUUCAUUACCAAAACCUGUGGUCAGGGGAAGAAGGUGCCCCUGUGGAAUUUCAUAGUGCAGGGAUGUUUCAGUAUAACACAAGCUAAUCAAGGACCUGAUCUGACUGAAUGGAAUGAAUGACUCCACAGAAAUGCUCUGACUCAAGUAGAACUGCUGGUGAAAUGACACUCCAAUCUACAGUUUGAUGCCUGUAUAAUUAUGCAUAAUAAUGAAAUGUAGAUAGGAAAAGCACACAGAAAAUAUAAAAUUAGAUUUUAUAUACAAGUGUAUACACUUGGCUCAGUUGUCACACCAACUGAAUUUUACAAAGACUACCUGCUUUUGUGACUAAAGCUCAAUAGACUUUCUCUGAUCAAGCUAGAAUAUGUUGUAAGUGGAGUAAAAAUAUUUUUCAAUCAGUUUGUUGAAAAGUUGUAUUUAGGUAUUCAGUUGGGUUUUAGAACAACAGCGUUGGAAGGUGUCUUGGAAGAACACCGCUUCAGUCUGGUCACGCUGCAAAUUUAAGCAAUCUUUAGCUUUAGGGUACCUCCAGAAAAAAACAUACUUAUUCUUCAGUUGUUACAGUUCUUUUUCCCUGCACGUGUGGAAAGAGAUGAGCAAAUUUUGAAAAACAAAAAGAAAAACCAACUGAUCAGAUACACCAAAUUAUUUCUUCUAAUCUUCACCAUCUGCAUAACAUGUAUAAUCAGCAAGCUGAAAUUAAAAUAUCUGCAACCUCUGCCCUUCCAAUCAAUCAGGAAUUAAACCUGAAAAGAAUGUGCUCUAGUGGAAAAAAAUCUUCAGAAUAAAUCUGGAUGCUUCCAUCCUUUCUAUUUAUUU
rnacentral:lncRNA from 1 species